CGGGUGCUGCUCUUCACGAGACACGGUUGCAUUCCGGUGGCCUUAAGCAAUUCCGAGGGAGCUGGCUCUGUCUGGAUCCUGGUCUAGUUACCUGGCGCCCACCUGUACAUACAGGUCCUCGGGAAUGAGAUAACCGAACGGUCGCUGCGGGCCCGCC
rnacentral:misc_RNA from 1 species